GUGGGGAAUAUUGGGCAAUGGGCGGAAGCCUGACCCAGCGACGCCGCGUGGGGGAAGAAGUCUUUCGGGAUGUAAACCCUUGUUGUACGGGACGAAGGAAGUGACGGUACCGUACGAGGAAGCCCCGGCAAACUACGUGCCAGCAGCCGCGGUAAUACGUAGGGGGCGAGCGUUGUCCGGAAUCACUGGGCGUAAAGCGCACGUAGGCGGGCUGUCAAGUCGGCCGUGAAAGGCACGGGCUCAACCUGUGCAUGUCGGUCGAUACUGGCGGUCUGGAGUAUGGGAGAGGGAACUGGAAUUCCCGGUGUAGCGGUGAAAUGCGUAGAUAGCGGGAGGAACACCAGUGGCGAAGGCGGGUUCCUGGCCCAUGACUGACGCUGAGGUGCGAAAGCCGGGGGAGCGAACGGGAUUAGAAACCCGUGUAGUCC
rnacentral:rRNA from 1 species